CCCUUAGAUGUUCUGGGCCGCACGCGCGCUACACUGAUGAAUUCAACGAGCUCCUAACCUAGGCCGAAGGGUCCGGGUAAUCUUUGAAAUUUCAUCGUGAUGGGGAUAGAUUAUUGCAAUUAUUAAUCUUCAACGAGGAAUUCCUAGUAAGCGCGAGUCAUCAGCUCGCGUUGAUUACGUCUCUGCCCUUUGUACACACCGCCCGUCGCUCCUACCGAUUGAAUGGUCCGGUGAAAUGUUCGGAUCGCGGCAAAUCGGACGGGUAACCGUCAGGUUCGCUGCGAGAAGUUCAUUAAACCUUAUCAUUUAGAGGAAGGAGAAGUCGUAACA
rnacentral:rRNA from 1 species